CAGACCUGCAGCAGGAGAUCGAGACCCAGCGGCAGCAGCACGACGCCAGAGUGAUGUCCAUCCGAACAGAAGAGAAACAGAAGAUGGACAAGAUGGCAGACGACUUGGACCAGAAGUGGAGAAAUGCACUGCGGGAGGAGGUGCAUCUGUUGAAGGAGGAGCUGACAGAGGAGUAUGAAGCUGACAAACAGGGGGCGAUGACUCAGGUCUCGCAGCAGAAAGAUCUGGAGAUGAUGGCGUCCAGAGAAGGCUGGCAGAGGAAGGUGGAGGACCUGCUGGA